UCCAGGAUGGCCGAGUGGUUAAGGGGUUGGACUUAAGUUCCAAUGUACGAAUGUACGCGUGGGUUCGAACCCCACUCCUGUUA
rnacentral:tRNA from 1 species